rnacentral:hammerhead_ribozyme from 1 species
UCACUGCUGACGUGUCCCGAACAGGACGAAACAGCUGUCCAGUGA